UUAGUCACGACCUGUGGUCACGACUCACGACACAAAACGGACAAGGCCCUGCACGGAAUAUGAAUUUGUCUUAUGAAGACAAAUUUACUUAUAAACAUGAAAAAGGAAUCAUCACAGUCCAAUAGAAUAAAGAAACUCAUCAAGUUUAGGACAACACGAGGGUACUUGGUAUCCCUGAACACCAUAUUGCCCAUGUGUGACUUGCUGAUGGUGAUGGACUCCAAGAUUGUUCAGGUGGCUCUGAAUGGCCUGAAGAACAUUCUCAGACUAGGAGAACAAGAACGGAAGCGGGAUCAACCCUUACUGCGCCCUUAUUGAAGUUUAUGGUUUGGAUUGAGUUUUUGCAGAGCAACGAGAACCAGGAGAUUUACCAGAAGGCCUUUGACCUGAUUGAGCACUACUUUGGGGUGGAGGAGGAAGUAGGAUCCAAAUAUAAAGUCUACCAGGAACCAGCUAAAAUAUCAAUGAAAGCAUCGCUCCACAAGUGGAUCAGAACCAGGGGCAGUACAUUUUCCACCAGCCUGAGGCACCAAUGGAGGGUUUCCAGUUCUAUCCCUUAUUCUGUGCUCCUGGCCAAGCUUUCAGGCCUUGUUUUUUCUAUCCAUCCUGCCUGGAGUCUCCCCCUCCUCUCUGUAGUGCAGGUUUUACUCCAUAAACCAGGCACCUUAUAGCUGCUCUCACCAGAAAUGAUGCCAAGGCCAUUCAAUAAAUCUUCCAUUUACAACCUGCCCAUCUUCCAAGCUCCCUUGUUGUGUAAGAGGAUUUGAAGAGAAUGGAGAAUGGCAAAGCCUUUAGUUUAAAAAACCUCCAGCUUUUCUUAUUCUUCUUCUUGUUAUCAUUAGACACUGUUAGGUAAACUUUACUCCAUGUCCCUUCAGAAAUGUGAAGCUACCUCGUCAAUCGGUGUUCGAGUGAGACAAGUGCCCAGCCUUCAGCUCUGACAUGUCUCUUCUCCUGUGGAGCAUACAUGCUUAUAAGCAAAUGGAUAUAGCCGGACCUCUGAUACAGAAGAUACAGAAGUGUAUUUAUUGUGCUGUUUAAAGUAACUGGUCUGGCAGGGUCCGGUUGUUCAGAAACCAGCAUGCAGACGUUCCCCUGUCACCUGCUUUGCUGAUGCUCUGAACCUUCAGUGAGAGCGAACCUGAGACCGGAGCUUGAGCCCCAAGUUCAAGUCCUUGCAACAGAACUGCACAGAGGAAGAAAGAGAACAGUGAAUGAGGAGAUGGGGAAGAGAAAUUGCAGCUGGACAUGGAGGCCUGAAGGCUGCCUUAUAUGCGCGCCCAUAAUGAUGAUUGACAGACCUGAAUGUUUAGGCUCCUCUCGAACCUACGUUUAAAACUACAGUUCUUUUUUUGUCUAAUUCUCAUUUAUUUAUUUUCUUUGUAUUAAACACCUCAAUUGAAUUUACUGGCAAGGAAAUUACUUUUUAAUCAGUGGUGGCCAUUGACUUCUUUUUUUUUUGUGGGCGCUCGAUGCGAAGUUCGUCACAACAUGUAUGUAGCCCGUCAUGUGUGUGGUUUGUAAUUUCAAAAUA